UGGGGAAUAUUGGACAAUGGGCGAAAGCCUGAUCCAGCCAUGCCGCGUGUGUGAAGAAGGUCUUCGGAUUGUAAAGCACUUUACGUUGGGAGGAAGGGCAGUAAGCGAAUACCUUGCUGUUUUGACGUUACCGACAGAAUAAGCACCGGCUAACUCUGUGCCAGCAGCCGCGGUAAUACAGAGGGUGCAAGCGUUAAUCGGAAUUACUGGGCGUAAAGCGCGCGUAGGUGGUUCGUUAAGUGGAAUGUGAAAGCCCCGGGCUCAACCUGGGAACGGCAUCUGAAACGGGCGAGCUAGAGUGGGGCAGAGGGUGGUAGAACUUCCUGGUUAGCGGUGAAAUGUGUAGAUAUAGGAAGGAACACCAGUGGCGAAGGCAACCACCUGGACUCACACUGACACUGAGGUGCGAAAGCGUGGGGAGCAAACAGG
rnacentral:rRNA from 1 species